UACGUAGGGAGCAAGCGUUAUCCGGAUUUAUUGGGUGUAAAGGGUGCGUAGACGGAGAAGCAAGUUGGUUGUGAAAUCCCUCGGCUUAACUGAGGAACUGCAACCAAAACUACUUCCCUUGAGUACUGGAGAGGAAAGUGGAAUUCCUAGUGUAGCGGUGAAAUGCGUAGAUAUUAGGAGGAACACCAGUGGCGAAGGCGACUUUCUGGACAGAAACUGACGUUGAGGCACGAAAGUGUGGGGAGCAAACA
rnacentral:rRNA from 1 species